rnacentral:rRNA from 1 species
UUAAGUGAAUAAGGGCGCACGGUGGAUGCCUUGGCACUAGGAGCCGAUGAAGGACGGGACUAACACCGAUAUGCUUUGGGGAGCUGUAAGUAAGCUAUGAUCCAGAGAUUUCCGAAUGGGGGAACCCAAUAUCUUUUAUAGGAUAUUACUUUUCAGUGAAUACAUAGCUGAUUAGAGGUAGACGCAGAGAACUGAAACAUCUUAGUACCUGCAGGAAGAGAAAGAAAAUUCGAUUCCCUGAGUAGCGGCGAGCGAAACGGGAAGAGCCCAAACCAACAAGCUUGCUUGUUGGGGUUGUAGGACUCCAAUAUGGUAGUCUGUUAGUAUAGUUGAAGGAUUUGGAAAAUUCCGCUAAAGAGGGUGAAAGCCCCGUAGACGAAAUGCUGACAACACCUAGGAGGAUCCUGAGUACGGCGGAACACGAGAAAUUCCGUCGGAAUCCGCGGGGACCAUCCCGCAAGGCUAAAUACUCCCUAGUGACCGAUAGUGAACCAGUACCGUGAGGGAAAGGUGAAAAGCACCCCGGAAGGGGAGUGAAAUAGAUCCUGAAACCGUGUGCCUACAACAAGUCAAAGCUCGUUAAUGAGUGAUGGCGUGCCUUUUGUAGAAUGAACCGGCGAGUUACGAUUGCAUGCGAGGUUAAGUCGAAGAGACGGAGCCGCAGCGAAAGCGAGUCUGAAUAGGGCGAAUGAGUAUGUAGUCGUAGACCCGAAACCAUGUGAUCUACCCAUGUCCAGGUUGAAGGUGCGGUAAAACGCACUGGAGGACCGAACCCACGUACGUUGAAAAGUGCGGGGAUGAGGUGUGGGUAGCGGAGAAAUUCCAAACGAACUUGGAGAUAGCUGGUUCUCUCCGAAAUAGCUUUAGGGCUAGCCUCGGAAUUGAGAAUGAUGGAGGUAGAGCACUGUUUGGACUAGGGGCCCAUCUCGGGUUACCGAAUUCAGAUAAACUCCGAAUGCCAUUCAUUUAUAUCCGGGAGUCAGACUGCGAGUGAUAAGAUCCGUAGUCGAAAGGGAAACAGCCCAGACCACCAGCUAAGGUCCCAAAAUAUAUGUUAAGUGGAAAAGGAUGUGGGGUUGCACAGACAACUAGGAUGUUGGCUUAGAAGCAGCCACCAUUUAAAGAGUGCGUAAUAGCUCACUAGUCGAGUGACCCUGCGCCGAAAAUGUACCGGGGCUAAACAUAUUACCGAAGCUGUGGACUACACCAUUAGGUGUAGUGGUAGGAGAGCGUUCUAAGGGCGUUGAAGGUCGAUCGUGAGGACGGCUGGAGCGCUUAGAAGUGAGAAUGCCGGUAUGAGUAGCGAAAGACAGGUGAGAAUCCUGUCCACCGUAUGACUAAGGUUUCCUGGGGAAGGCUCGUCCGCCCAGGGUUAGUCGGGACCUAAGCCGAGGCCGAUAGGCGUAGGCGAUGGACAACAGGUUGAUAUUCCUGUACCAGUUGUUUUUGUUUGAGCAAUGGAGGGACGCAGUAGGCUAAGGAAUGCAUGCGAUUGGAAGUGCAUGUCCAAGCAAUGAGUCUUGAGUAGAGUUAAAUGCUUUACUCUUUAAGGACAAGUUGUGACGGGGAGCGAAAUAAUAGUAGCGAAGUUCCUGAUGUCACACUGCCAAGAAAAGCUUCUAGUGAGAAAACAACUGCCCGUACCGUAAACCGACACAGGUAGUCGAGGAGAGUAUCCUAAGGUGAGCGAGCGAACUCUCGUUAAGGAACUCGGCAAAAUGACCCCGUAACUUCGGGAGAAGGGGUGCUGACGACCGUCAGCCGCAGUGAAUAGGCCCAAGCGACUGUUUAUCAAAAACACAGGUCUCUGCAAAAUCGUAAGAUGAAGUAUAGGGGCUGACGCCUGCCCGGUGCUGGAAGGUUAAGAGGAUGGGUUAGCUUCGGCGAAGCUCAGAAUUGAAGCCCCAGUAAACGGCGGCCGUAACUAUAACGGUCCUAAGGUAGCGAAAUUCCUUGUCGGGAGCCGAUGAGACCGGAACGCUAGUUUCGGAGGAGGCGCUGGUGGGAUACUACCCUUGUGUUAUGAACCCUCUAACCCGCACCACUAAUCGUGGUGGGAGACAGUGUCAGAUGGGCAGUUUGACUGGGGCGGUCGCCUCCUAAAAGGUAACGGAGGCGCCCAAAGGUUCCCUCAGAAUGGUUGGAAAUCAUUCGAAGAGUGUAAAGGCAGAAGGGAGCUUGACUGCGAGACCUACAAGUCGAGCAGGGACGAAAGUCGGGCUUAGUGAUCCGGUGGUUCCGCAUGGAAGGGCCAUCGCUCAACGGAUAAAAGCUACCCUGGGGAUAACAGGCUUAUCUCCCCCAAGAGUCCACAUCGACGGGGAGGUUUGGCACCUCGAUGUCGGCUCGUCGCAUCCUGGGGCUGUAGUCGGUCCCAAGGGUUGGGCUGUUCGCCCAUUAAAGCGGCACGCGAGCUGGGUUUAGAACGUCGUGAGACAGUUCGGUCCCUAUCCGUCGCGGGCGUUGGAAAUUUGAGAGGAGCUGUCCUUAGUACGAGAGGACCGGGAUGGACUUACCGCUGGUGUACCAGUUGUUCUGCCAAGGGCAUUGCUGGGUAGCUAUGUAGGGAAGGGAUAAACGCUGAAAGCAUCUAAGUGUGAAGCCCACCUCAAGAUGAGAUUUCCCAUUUCUUUAAGAAAGUAAGACCCCUGAGAGAUGAUCAGGUAGAUAGGUUGGAAGUGGAAGGCUAGUGAUAGUUGGAGCGGACCAAUACUAAUCGGUCGAGGACUUAACCAA